GGAUGCGAACAUACCAGCACUAAAGCACCGGAUCCCAUUAGAACUCCGAAGUUAAGCGUGCUUGGGCGAGAGUAGUACUANNN
rnacentral:rRNA from 1 species